GCAUCGAUAGCUCCGUGGCAGAACGGUGAGAUGGUACCCCAUGCAGCCCGGGUUCGAGCCCCGGUCGAUGCA